rnacentral:rRNA from 1 species
AGAGUUUGAUCCUGGCUCAGAACGAACGCUGGCGGCAGGCCUCAAACAUGCAAGUCUAGGGGGUGUAGCAAUACAUCACCGGCGGACGGGUGCGUAACGCGUGGGAAUAUACCUAUUGGUUCGGAACAACUGCGGGAAACUGCAGCUAAUACCGAAUGUGCCCUUACGGGGAAAGAUUUAUCGCCAAUGGAUUAGCCCGCGUCCGAUUAGCUAGUUGGUGGGGUAAUGGCCCACCAAGGCUCCGACCGGUAGCUGUUCUGAGAGGAAGAUCAGCCACACUGGGACUGAGACACGGCCCAGACUCCUACGGGAGGCAGCAGUUGGGAAUCUUGGACAAUGGGGGAAACCCUGAUCCAGCCAUGCCGCGUGAGUGAUGAAGGCCUUCGGGUUGUAAAACUCUUUCGGCGGGGACGAUAAUGACGGUACCCGCAGAAGAAGCUCCGGCUAACUUCGUGCCAGCAGCCGCGGUAAUACGAAGGGGGCUAGCGUUGUUCGGAAUUACUGGGCGUAAAGCGCGCGCAGGCGGUUUUUCAAGUCAGUGGUGAAAGCCCGGAGCUCAACUCCGGAAUUGCCAUUGAAACUGUUAAACUUGAGGAUGAGAGAGGUGAGUGGAAUUCCCAGUGUAGAGGUGAAAUUCGUAGAUAUUGGGAAGAACACCGGUGGCGAAGGCGGCUCACUGGCUCAUUUCUGACGCUCAGGCGCGACAGCGUGGGGAUCAAACAGGAUUAGAUACCCUAGUAGUCC